AUACGGAGGGUGCAAGCGUUAAUCGGAAUUACUGGGCGUAAAGCGUACGUAGGCGGUUAUUUAAGUCAGAUGUGAAAGCCCCGGGCUUAACUUGGGAACUGCAUUUGAAACUGGGUAACUAGAGUUUAGUAGAGGGGAGUGGAAUUUCAGGUGUAGCGGUGAAAUGCGUAGAGAUCUGAAGGAACACCAGUGGCGAAGGCGACUCCCUGGACUAAAACUGACGCUGAGGUACAAAAGCGUGGGUAGCAAACAGGAUUAGAAACCCCAGUAGUCC
rnacentral:rRNA from 1 species